ACUACGGGUGGGCAGCAGUGGGGAAUAUUGGGCAAUGGGCGCAAGCCUGACCCAGCAACGCCGCGUGAAGGAAGAAGGCUUUCGGGUUGUAAACUUCUUUUCUCAGGGACGAAGAAAGUGACGGUACCUGAGGAAUAAGCCACGGCUAACUACGUGCCAGCAGCCGCGGUAAUACGUAGGUGGCAAGCGUUAUCCGGAUUUAUUGGGGGUAAAGGGCGUGUAGGCGGGAGCGCAAGUCAGAUGUGAAAACGCAGGGCUCAACCCUGAGCCUGCAUUUGAAACUGUGUUUCUUGAGUGCUGGAGAGGCAAUCGGAAUUCCGUGUGUAGCGGUGAAAUGCGUAGAUAUACGGAGGAACACCAGUGGCGAAGGCGGAUUGCUGGACAGUAACUGACGCUGAGGCGCGAAAGCGUGGGGAGCAAACAGGAUUAGAUACCCCUGUAGUC
rnacentral:rRNA from 1 species